UCGGGAAUUUUGGGCAAUGGGCGAAAGCCUGACCCAGCAACGCCGCGUGAGGGAUGAAGUAUUUCGGUAUGUAAACCUCGAAAGAAUGGGAAGAAUAAAUGACGGUACCAUUUAUAAGCUCCGGCUAACUACGUGCCAGCAGCCGCGGUAAUACGUAGGGAGCAAGCGUUGUUCGGAUUUACUGGGCGUAAAGGGCGCGUAGGCGGCGCGGUAAGUCACUUGUGAAAUCUCUGAGCUUAACUCAGAACGGCCAAGUGAUACUGCUGUGCUAGAGUGCGGAAGAGGCAACCGGAAUUCUUGGUGUAGCGGUGAAAUGCGUAGAUAUCAAGAGGAACACCUGAGGCGAAGGCGGGUUGCUGGGCCGACACUGACGCUGAUGCGCGAAAGCCAGCGGAGCAAACG
rnacentral:rRNA from 1 species